UUUGACUCUGGAAAUCAAAACAUAAAAAGAAUUAGCUAUGUAUCAAACAAAAAGUUUUUUAGUCCUUUCUUAGUUCAGCCCCAUGUAAUUAGCUCUUGUUCUGCUUGAUGUUGGGUUAGCAAUCCUCAUGAGCACAUCAGCUUUUUAAUUAGAAUCCUGGAAGGUUUUUUUCCCUAGUCCAAUGGUAUGAUAUCCAAAGUUAGAAAACUGUAUUCAGGAGACCUUCC
rnacentral:lncRNA from 1 species